GUGCUUGCUUCGCCAGCACACAUACUAAAAUUGGAACGAUACAAAGAAGAUUAGCAUGGCCCCUGCACAAGUAUGACACGCAAAUUUGUGAAGCAGUCCAUAUUUUU